AUCACUCAUAGAGGAAGCAAGAGACGUGUCGAGUGGAGAUGUUUCCAGGUUGAGAUUUAUAACCAAUGGAGGGUUGCUAGGUAAGGGAGAAAAAGAAGAACCUAAGGAACAUAACCUUUGCCUCAGACUCAAGGGUUAAUAGGUUUAGGCUUACUUUUCUUUGGUAACGUGGUUUUGGGUUCAGUGAACUGAAUUCUAUAGUACGGUACAAAUCUGAUGGUAGCAUCGGAUUACGG
rnacentral:lncRNA from 1 species